UGUAAUCAAUUAUUACUUAAUUUACACAUGCAAGUCUCCGCACCCCUGUGAAAACGCCCUUAAAUCCCCAGUAGGGAUAAGGAGCUGGUAUCAGGCACAAUUUUUAGCCCAAAACACCUAGCUAUGCCACACCCACACGGGAAUUCAGCAGUGAUUAACAUUGAAAAUGAGCGACAGCUCGACUCAGUUAAAGUAGAAAGAGCCGGCUAAUCUGGUGCCAGCCGCCGCGGUUACACCACGUGGCUCAAAUUGAUUUCCUUCGGCGUAAAGCGUGAUUAAAGUCUUUAGUGAAUUAUAGCUAAACUAAAACUAAGCUGUAACACGCUUGUUCUUAAGAAAGCCAAAACGAAAGUUACUAUAAUUAAAACAACU
rnacentral:rRNA from 1 species